rnacentral:rRNA from 1 species
CCGGAUUCAUUGGGUUUAAAGGGUGCGUAGGCGGGACUGUAAGUCAGGGGUGAAAUACUGCAGCUUAACUGUAGCAUUGCCUUUGAAACUGCCGUUCUUGAGUACAGUUGAGGUAGGCGGAAUGUGGUGUGUAGCGGUGAAAUGCAUAGAUAUACCACAGAACGCCGAUUGCGAAGGCAGCUUACUAAGCUGUUACUGACGCUGAGGCACGAAAGCGUGGGGAUCAAACAGGAUUAGAUACCCUGGUAGUCCACGCUGUAAACGAUGAUUACUGGUUGUUAGCGAUAUAUAGCUAGUGACUGAGCGAAAGCAUUAAGUAAUCCACCUGGGGAGUACGUCGGCAACGAUGAAGCUCAAAGGAAUUGACGGGGGCCCGCACAAGCGGAGGAACAUGUGGUUUAAUUCGAUGAUACGCGAGGAACCUUACC